rnacentral:lncRNA from 1 species
GUUAUAUUAAAAAAUAUUUAUGACAUAAUAAAUGAAACUGAAAAUAUAGUAAAGUCAAAUACAAUUAGUACGUUAAUAGAUACUACAUCUACUAGUGAAUUAGGACACGCAGCUGAAUAUCCAGCAGAUAGUUGUAUUCAUUUAAAAAGUAUAUUCCCUAACAUUUCAUCAGGUUUUUAUUAUGUAUUAACACCAUGUGCACAAAAUGUAUUACGAGUGUAUUGUGACAUGAAAUUUGGUAGUAUGUAUUAUAUUCCACCAAUUGAUACUAUUUUAGUUAAUAAAUUAAAAGAUGUAGAAAAUAUUUGUGCUGCAUAUGGUUUAAACCCAAUUCAUUUACAUCAUGAAAAUCAAAUCCAAUCAAUAAUGUGGUUGUUACAUCUGAUGAAUAUAAAUAAAACGAUCCCAUUAGCUAUACGAUAUAAAACAAAUGAUUUUUUUUCACUAGAUAUGCAAGAAAAUGUACAACAUAUUAUUUCUAAAUUUGGUAACCCCAUAAAUAAUACAUUUGGUAUUAAUAAUGAAAAUAUCACUUUUUUUGAUUCUGCAAAUACAGAAAUGGGUGCAUUCGUUUGUUCUGAUAACAUAGAUUCAAUUAAUUUACCAGAACCUUUUGUUAAUUUAAAUUGUCAAAGUACGUUGAAGGAUGCAGUCGAAAUAGAAAAAGUACUUGGUUAUGAAUAUCUUAUCAAAUGUCCUUCUAACUGUUUAGAAAAAGGUAUUGAAGCAACUGUGAUAGGAGGAGAAGGUAAUAUUUAUAGUGAAAAUAGUGCUAUAUGCUUAUCUGCUAUUCAUGCUGGAGUUUAUGACAAACACUAUUUAAUAUAUUUAAGAGUAGUAAAUGCAUUGAGUGAAUAUGAAGGUAUAUUUCAAAAUGGGAUCGUAUCUGAAAGUUUCAUAAAUGGUAUUAGCAAUAGUGGGAAUAAUCAUGAACAACUAGGUUUUAAAAUAUUUAAUGUUCCUCCUAAAUGUCCUAAUGAUAAAACUGGAUUUAAUUUUGUAUUUGUAGAAUUAGAUAGUCCUACAGAUACAGAUAUAUUUUAUUCUAAAGAAAAUAUUUAUAUGGAUGUAUCCACAUCAAAUGCAGUAAAUGAUUUAGUCACGAUUGUUAAUAAACAAGUAAGUAGUACCGAUCCAACAUUCCUAGGGUUAAUAAACAAACAAGUGAUAAAAAUAGUAUCUAAUGCUAGAAGAUAUUUAAAACCAACUGAAAAUUAUGAAAAAAAUAUCGAAUUAUUAUCUAAUGAGACAUUAAAAGAUGUUCAAAAUGUGUCACAUAAAAUAAAAGUUCUAGCAUCUAAAAUUACAUCCGAGUUAAACAAAAGAAAAUAUAAAUUAGAAUCGUUAAUUACUGAAAGGUUAAGACAAACUGAAUUUGAAUCAUGGGCAUUAACAAGUGUAACAGAUACAAUAUAUGAUACAUUUGAAAUUAUUAAUGUUGUGCAGUCACAGAAAAGUAAAUGGGAGUUAAUAGAUAAACCAUUAAAUGAAGGAAUGCUUGGUAAAACAUUAACUCAAAAUGUACGUAUUUAUCAUCCUUAUGGUGAAAAUGCUAUUCUCAACCUAUUUAAUGGUACUUAUGCUUUUCUUCGAUAUAAACUAUUUUAUGAUUUUAUUUUUUCUACACAUAUUCAUGUUAAAGGAACUGGUUCGGUAGGAUUAUUAUUCAGAGUAUAUGAUAAGUAUAAUUAUUAUAUGUUAGAAUUAAACAAUGGAAGUAUAAAUAAUCGAAAUAAUAAUAAUAACGGAUUUAAAAGAUUAUUAAAAGUUCAAAAUAAUGAAGUAAGUGAAUUAGCUAUAAUUAACGAAAAUGGUUUUGAUGCAUCUACUUGGUUUUCCAUACGAAUCGAAUGUAUCGGAACAAAUAUAAAAAUAUACAUAAUAAAAACAAAUAAAAUUAUAUAUGAUUUACCACCACCUGACAUAGUUAUAAACGAUGAUUUUCAGUCUGCUGGUACAAUUGGAUUUUAUACUUAUGGUGUAGAAAAUGUAGAAUUUAAUAAACCAAUGGUAGAAUCGUUAGAAUGUAUAUCCAAACUUAGUAAAAAAAAACAACAAAUAUCACCACCCAGUUGUAAUAUAUAUGAAGAAUUUUAUGUUGGUAAAUUUGAUAAUUCUUAUUCUGUAUAUGACCCAGAAGGUGCAACAGAUGGACCAUCCAAUUGGGGUUAUGUAAAUAAUAUAGGAAAUGAAAAUCAUGUCAUUGCACAAAAAUCAAAUAUAAAAGGAAAUGAAACUAAUGAAAUUCCUUCUCUUAUUAUUUUACGAAAUAAGAUAUGUCAUAAUGGAAUAUUAAAUUUUUCUAUUUACCCACAAUGUGUUGGUGAUAAUUCUAGUAACAAUAGUGGUAUAUUAGGUGCCGUAAUAAAAUUCUCAGAUAUAAAUAAUUAUACUUUAUUAGAAAUCGGAUCUACCUUUACAAGAAUAAGACAAAAUGUAAAUGGUGUUUUUCAUUUACUGGCAAAAUCAAUCAUAUCAGGAUAUAAAGAAAAUGCUUGGAAUAAAGUUACUAUAACUUUUAACAA